GACGAACCGUGCGAACGUUGUUCGGAAUCACUGGGCUUAAAGGGCGCGUAGGCGGGUCGGCAAGUCCGGGGUGAAAGCCCCCAGCUCAACUGGGGAAGGGCCUUGGAAACUGCCGGUCUCGAGGGAGGUAGGGGCCUGUGGAAGCUUCGGGUGGAGCGGUGAAAUGCGUUGAUAUCCGAAGGAACGCCGGUGGCGAAAGCGACGGGCUGGAUCUCUUCUGACGGCUGAGGCGGCGAAAAGCUAGGGUAGCGAACGGGGA
rnacentral:rRNA from 1 species